rnacentral:rRNA from 1 species
GUGUCAGCAGCCGCGGUAAUACGAAGGGACCUAGCGUAGUUCGGAAUUACUGGGCUUAAAGAGCUCGUAGGUGGUUAGAAAAGUUGGUGGUGAAAUCCCAAGGCUUAACCUUGGAACUGCCAUCAAAACUUUUUGACUAGAGUAUGAUAGAGGAAAGUGGAAUUUCUAGUGUAGAGGUGAAAUUCGUAGAUAUUAGAAAGAACACCAAUUGCGAAGGCAACUUUCUGGAUCAUUACUGACACUGAGGAGCGAAAGCAUGGGUAGCGAAGAGGAUUAGAUACCCUCGUAGUCCAUGCCGUAAACGAUGUGUGCUAGACGUUGGAAAUUUAGUUUUCAGUGUCGCAGCGAAAGCGUUAAGCACACCGCCUGGGGAGUACGACCGCAAGGUUAAAACUCAAAUGAAUUGACGGGGACCCGCACAAGUAGUGGAGCAUGUGGUUUAAUUCGAAGAUACGCGCAGAACCUUACCAACACUUGACAUGUUCGUCGCGACUCUAAGAGAUUAGAGUUUUCGGUUCGGCCGGACGAAACACAGGUGCUGCAUGGCUGUCGUCAGCUCGUGUCGUGAGAUGUUGGGUUAAGUCCCGCAACGAGCGCAACCCUUACUUUUAGUUGCUACCAUUUAGUUGGGCACUCUAAAAGAACUGCCGGUGAUAAGCUGGAGGAAGGUGGGGAUGACGUCAAGUCCUCAUGGCCCUUAUGUGUUGGGCUACACACGUGCUACAAUGGUACUCACAGUGAGAAGCGAAGAGGCGACUCUAAGCUAAUCCCUAAAAAGUACCUCAGUUCGGAUUGUACUCUGCAACUCGAGUACAUGAAGCUGGAAUUACUAGUAAUCGCGGAUCAGCGCGCCGCGGUGAAUACGUUCCCGGGUCUUGCACACACCGCCCGUC